UACGUAGGGCGCGAGCGUUGUCCGGAAUUAUUGGGCGUAAAGAGCUCGUAGGCGGUUUGUCGCGUCGGUUGUGAGAACCCAAGGCUCAACCUUGGGCCUGCAAUCGAUACGGGCAGACUAGAGUACUGCAGGGGAGACUGGAAUUCCUGGUGUAGCGGUGGAAUGCGCAGAUAUCAGGAGGAACACCGGUGGCGGAAGGCGGGUCUCU
rnacentral:rRNA from 1 species